UACGUAGGGUGCGAGCGUUGUCCGGAAUUAUUGGGCGUAAAGAGCUUGUAGGCGGUUUGUCGCGCUCUGCUGUGAAAUCCGGGGCUCAACCCCGGACUUGCAGUGGGUACGGGCAGACUGGAGUGUGGUAGGGGAGACUGGAAUUCCUGGUGUAGCGGUGGAAUGCGCAGAUAUCAGGAGGAACACCGAUGGCGAAGGCAGGUCUCUGGGCCACUACUGACGCGAGAAGCGAAAGCAUGGGGAGCGAACAGG
rnacentral:rRNA from 1 species